rnacentral:rRNA from 1 species
CCCCUCGGUGCCGAAGUUAACACAUUAAGCACUCCGCCUGGGGAGUACGGUCGCAAGACUGAAACUCAAAGGAAUUGACGGGGACCCGCACAAGCAGUGGAGUAUGUGGUUUAAUUCGAAGCAACGCGAAGAACCUUACCAGGUCUUGACAUCCCUUUGACCGGUGCAGAGAUGUACCUUCCCUUCGGGGCAGAGGAGACAGGUGGUGCAUGGUUGUCGUCAGCUCGUGUCGUGAGAUGUUGGGUUAAGUCCCGCAACGAGCGCAACCCUUGAACUUAGUUGCCAGCACUUCGGGUGGGCACUCUAGGUUGACUGCCGGNGACAAACCGGAGGAAGGCGGGGAUGACGUCAAAUCAUCAUGCCCCUUAUGACCUGGGCUACACACGUACUACAAUGGCCGGUACAACGG